rnacentral:lncRNA from 1 species
GUGAGCCACCCAGCCUGGACCCCAUGCAGAGCUUCUCUCAAGAGGCAGUGGACACAGACAGGAUCCUGUACCUGCACUCCUGCUCUGAGGCCUGGAGCGAUGCCUUCUUGCUGGAUGUGGCCUCAGCCUGGGUGCUCCCCUUGAGGACGUAUCGUAGAGCUGGAGGUGCUGCCCACUGUCAUCCCCACCGGGAGUGCAAAACUUCAGCGUCCCCGAGGGUGCAGCCACACCUUGGUCCCUCCACUGCUCUGCGUCACCGGGCCCUACUUCCCCACUCUCCCGGGCCUUGGCCUGCAGGUUCUGGAGCCAUCCUGGCAUGGGGCCCUGCAGAAGGAAGAUGGGCCUCAUGCCAAGACCCUCAGCGCCUUCUGCUGGAGAGAGCCAGAACUUAUGAUCCCCGUUUUCCACCAAUGGAAGCUGAAGCCCUGAAAGUCAGUCUCCUCCUGCACCCAAAGGCAGGGCAUGAAGGGUGCUGCUGGGUCCUGACUGCCAGCCCUGGGCCUGCCCCUUGGUGGAAGAGCAGCUGAUCUGCUAUGUGCACGAGGGGAGCGAGACACUGACAGACAGUUUUGUCCUGAUGGCUAAUGUCUCGGAGAUGGACCGCCAGAGCCAUCCUGUGGCCUUCACUGUCACCAUCCUGCCUGUCAAUGGCCAACCCCCCGACCUCACCACAAACUUAGGCCUGCAGACCACGGAGUUCAUCAUCUUGGAGCUGCUGGCCAGUCUGUACUCAUGUGGGGACCAGAACACACUGGUGGAGCAGUUGGCAGAAGAGGCACAGCGGCGCGACGAGAUGCUGCGCAUACACCACAUGCUGAAGGAGGUACUCACCAUCAUCGGGGACAUCAACAAGACCACCGUCAGCCUGCCUGUGAGCCUACAUGUGGACGACUCCUGGCUGCAGGUGCAGAGCGUCCCGGACGAACGCAGAUACCGGGGCCGGCCCCCACGGCCCCAAAAUCCCCCAACCUGGGCCUCCGAGAGGAGUGCCAAGGGGGCAGUGGCGUGGCCCCUCACCAGGGUGGCUGCCACCUGGAGUGAGAGGCGGAGCUUGCCGAGGAGCAGUGGCUGCGGGGCGGGGUGGAGCUGGGCUGUUGGUGCUGCUGGGGCGGGGCUUAAACUCUGGCGACCACAUCGGGGCCUGGCAGGGAGGAGCUUCCGUGCAUGGUCCUGGCCGGCACUGGGCUGGGACGGGGCCUCAGGGGGCGGGGCGGAGCCGCCCAUUUCUCCUGUCCCUGUGCCUUGAUACCUGUCGCCUUGCAGGUCGCCCAGGUCCAGCCCCGGGAUGCCCAGCCCCCGCCACGUCCCCAGCCCAGCCUGGGUUGCGGGCCGGCUUCUGGGCUUCCUCCUGCUGGGUCCCCUUGGGGAAGUGCCACCCCAUAUCCUCCAGACCAGAGGCUUCCCCUGAUCCCUUCGGCCCUACUCGCCAGGUGCUCUCAUGCCCCACUCGGGAUCACCAAGUAAGUAGGGGCUGAAAGCAGCCAAAGAGGCCGCUGGACGGGUGUGGCCGGGAAGGAAAUGGGACUGUAUUCCAGAGCAUCCGACCUGGCUGCAAGAACUGGCCGUCUCCAGCCAAGAAACUGGGACCAUGGCUGCCGGAGUCACGUGUGGCCGAGGGCUGGCAGAGCCUGUCCCCCAGGGAGGGCUGAGUCCUGGAGGUAGUCGUUUUUGAGGAGAGGGCUAUGGGGCUCGUCCCACCUGCCCCCUUCUUUCCAGCACUUAGGUGGCACUUCCCUCUAUUUUCACUCUUAGUGGCCGCCCACAUGUUGCAUCCCUCAUCCUUUCUUCUCGCCGUCCUCCAUUCUCCAUUCUGUCCAACUCCUCUCUGCGAAACCUAGCUCAGGUCUGAGAGUCUGAGAUGCUCUGGGUGUGUGGAUUUCCUUUUGCUACCCUGAUGUCCCCACAUCCAAGUCCUGACUCCUUUGAGCCAUCCCUGGGGGUAUCGGGCCACUUGACCAUGGGAGCAGAGGCCAGGCUGUGACUCCAACCAACAAGAUGUGUGAUGUGUGUACAGGUGAGCACACGAGUGUGAGAGUGUAAGAGUGGCACCCAGGCCUGAGCUAGGACAGAAGCAACUGGGGAAGGAACCCGGGGGCCACAGGCAGUCUGAUUUUUUCUCCACAUCCCCACCCCCUGACCCUGUCUAAACUAAUGUGGUAGUGGCAGCUGCAGGGGCAGGGAUGAGAGUGACUGAAUCCUACUUUACUCCCAAAGAUUUCUAAGGAAGAGCAUUCUACUGCAACCUUUGGCUUGGCCUUGUUGACCUAUGACCCUCUUUCAAGGACAUUCACUCUGAUUUCCAGUGUGCCCUGUUUCCACUGGCCAUGUUCUCUAAGGAAGAACAAUAGCAUCUGUUUUUGUGUCCAGAUGGCUGGAGAGUGGGGCUGUGGGUCCAAUGCCCAUAUACAAAAAUGAAGUAGGGAUUGGGGUUUGCCCUAUGACGUGCUGAUGACCAAGUUACAUGGGUAAAGGCAAGCAGCAGAGUAUUGGGCAAGAGCACUGGACUGGGAGUCCAGAGAUGCUUCUUCACCCUGGGGCUUUAGGCAAGUCCCUUUCCCUCCCAGAGCCUCAGUAUCCCUUCUAUCAAAUGAUGUUGCCGCCUGGGAAAGGCUGUCCCCAUCCCGCCCUGUCCCUCUCACCCCUCAUCCUUCAUCCCCUCAUCCCCACGCGCUCCGUGUGCACCCAUUUCGGCUGCUGCAACAAGCCCAGAGCAUGCACGCGCUUCCGGCUGCCCCCUCCUCUCCUUGACCCAGCACUGCUGGACCCAUGUGGUCCGUUCCUCACACUCACGAACUGGAGGCUCUGGGCAGCACAACCAGCAACUCCGGUGUGUGUUGAGGAGGGGCGGGGCACAAAACCACCAACUCNNNNNNNNNNNNNNNNNNNNNNNNNGC